rnacentral:rRNA from 1 species
GACGAACGCUGGCGGCGUGCCUAAUACAUGCAAGUAGAACGCACAGUUUAUACCGUAGCUUGCUACACCAUAGACUGUGAGUUGCGAACGGGUGAGUAACGCGUAGGUAACCUGCCUGGUAGCGGGGGAUAACUAUUGGAAACGAUAGCUAAUACCGCAUAAUAUUAAUUAUUGCAUGAUAAUUAAUUGAAAGGUGCAAUUGCACCACUACCAGAUGGACCUGCGUUGUAUUAGCUAGUAGGUGAGGUAACGGCUCACCUAGGCGACGAUACAUAGCCGACCUGAGAGGGUGAUCGGCCACACUGGGACUGAGACACGGCCCAGACUCCUACGGGAGGCAGCAGUAGGGAAUCUUCGGCAAUGGACGAAAGUCUGACCGAGCAACGCCGCGUGAGUGAAGAAGGUUUUCGGAUCGUAAAGCUCUGUUGUAAGAGAAGAACGGGUGUGAGUGUGGAAAGUUCACACUGUGACGGUAUCUUACCAGAAAGGGACGGCUAACUACGUG